AUUGAGCGCUGGCGGCAUGCCUCACACCUGCAAGUCGAACGGUAACAGGUCUUCGGGUGCUGACGAGUGGCGAACGGGUGAGUAAUGCAUCGGACCGUGCCCAGUAGUGGGGGAUAGCCCGGCGAAAGCCGGAUUAAUACCGCAUACGACCUGAGGGCGUAAGGGGGGGAUCGCAAGACCUCUCGCUAGUCGAACGGCCGAUGUCAGAUUAGCUAGUUGGUGGGGUAAAGGCCUACCAAGGCAACGAUCCGUAGUCGGUCUGAGGGGACGACCAGCCACACUGGGACUGAGACACGGCGCAGACUCCUACGGGAGCCAGCAGUGGGGAAUUUUGGACAAUGGGCUCAAGCCUGAUCCAGCAAUGCCGCGUGCAGGAAGAAGGCCUUCAGGUUGUAAACUGCUUUUGUCAGUGAAGAAAUCUUCUGGGUUAAUACCUCGGGAGGAUGACGGUACCUGAAGAAUAAGCACCGGCUAACUACGUGCCAGCAGCCGCGGUAACAC
rnacentral:rRNA from 1 species